AACGAACGUUGGCGGCGUGGAUUAGGCAUGCAAGUCGUACGCGAAAGAGGGAGCAAUCCCUUGAGUAAAGUGGCGAACGGGUGAGUAACGCGUAGGAAACCUGCCUUCGAGAUGGGGAUAACACUCCUAACGGGGUGCUAAUACCGAAUGACACUGCGGGAUCGCAUGGUUCUGCAGUCAAAGGUGGCCUCUGCUUGCAAGCUACCACUCGGAGAUGGUCCUGCGUCCCAUUAGCUAGUUGGCGGGGUAAUGGCCCACCAAGGCGACGAUGGGUAGCCGAUCUGAGAGGAUGACCGGCCACACUGGGACUGAGAUACGGCCCAGACUCCUACGGGAGGCAGCAGUCGAGAGGCUUCGGCAAUGGGGAAACCCUGACCGAGCGACGCCGCGUGGAGGAUGAAGGCCUUUGGGUUGUAACUCCUGUCGGCAGGGAAAAGCGACACGACCUAAUACGUCGAGGAGUUGAUUGUA
rnacentral:rRNA from 1 species